rnacentral:rRNA from 1 species
GAGCACGUAGGGGGUUUGUAAGUCAGAUGUGAAAGCCUUCUGUUCAACGGGAGAAUUGCAUCUGAAACUGCUAAUCUUGAGUAUAGGAGGGGAGAAUGGAACUUCUGGUGGAGCGGUGAAAUGCGUAGAUAUCAGAAGGAACGCCGGCGGCGAAAGCGAUUCUCUGGCCUAUUACUGACACUCAGUGUGCGAAAGCUAGGGGAGCAAACGGGAUAGAUACCCCGGUAGCCUUGACU